UGCUCCCUCUCUUUCAAAUAAAUAAAUGAAAACUUUAAAAAUAAAAAAUAAGGGCAACGUAGGCAUUGAGGUACUCUAGCCCUGGAGUAAGAGCUAACAAAGCCUAAAUCUAAGCCUUGACAGGGUCGAUUUAAGACUCCCAUCAUUAAAUGUCUCUGUAAAGAAACAUGAUCCAAAUCCUCAGUAUUGUAUCCACCGUGCCCAGCGUGUAAUAUAAAAUUACCAGACCUUUAAAUAAGCCAGAAAAUGUGACCCAUAAUCAGAAGAAAAAGUUUAAUAGAAAUGAACUCUAAGUUGAUGCAAAUGUUGGAACUAGUAUUUAAGGAAUUACAGACGCUAUUAGAAAUAUGUUGAAGGAUUUAAAAUAAUGUGAACAGAUGGGUAACCUUAACAGAGAAAUAGAAACAAUUAGAAGAACCAAAUGGAAAUUCUAGAUGUGAAAAGAAAUGCCAAAAGGAAAAAUCCACUCAAUGAGCUUAAUACUGUAUUGGACACCGAAAAAACAAAGAUCUGAAUUUGAAGGCAAGUCACUAUCUCAGAGAGAAAAGAGUGAAAGUUAAAAAAAACAAAAACUAGAGUUUCAGGUGACACAACUAGAGCUGAUAGGGGGAUGAAAGGACCUGGGACCGCGAAAACAACCCGAAAAAGAAGAAUAAAGAUGGAAAUUUUACAGUGCCUUAUUUCAAGAUUAACUUUAAAGCUAUAAAAAUCAAGACUGUGGGGGCACCUGGGUGGCUCAGUUGGUUAAGCAACCGCC